rnacentral:rRNA from 1 species
UACGUAGGGUGCAAGCGUUAUCCGGAAUUAUUGGGCGUAAAGAGCUCGUAGGCGGUUUGUCGCGUCUGCUGUGAAAACUGGAGGCUCAACCUCCAGCCUGCAGUGGGUACGGGCAAACUAGAGUGCGGUAGGGGAGAUUGGAAUUCCUGGUGUAGCGGUGGAAUGCGCAGAUAUCAGGAGGAACACCGAUGGCGAAGGCAGAUCUCUGGGCCGAUACUGACGCUGAGGAGCGAAAGCAUGGGGAGCGAACAGG